CUCUGUAUGGAAAACAUCUUGGGAGUUAGUCCACUUUUCUAUCAAAUUCACUUUUUUAAACGCCUUUUUUUGACCUUUUUGGUCUCAAUCUCUGAUGAGAUAGUGUUUGGCGAUUUUAUGUGGAUUUGGAUUACGGAUCGGCUUGGGGAUCUUGGGUCAGCACUGUGGAGGUUAUUUCAGGUGUAGAAUGGAGACACAGCCAUAGGCACUAUGAAACAGUAAAGACACUUUACAUCCCUGAUGAAGAUCAAA